UACAGAGGGUGCAAGCGUUGUUCGGAAUUACUGGGCGUAAAGAGUGUGUAGGCGGUGCUCCAAGUCUGGUGUGAAAUCUCCCGGCUUAACUGGGAGGGUGCAUUAGAAACUGGAAUGCUAGAGGAUGGGAGAGGUAAGCGGAAUUCCUGGUGUAGCGGUGAAAUGCGUAGAUAUCAGGAGGAACACCUGUGGUGUAGACAGCUUACUGGACCAUUUCUGACGCUGAGACACGAAAGCGUGGGUAGCAAACAGG
rnacentral:rRNA from 1 species